rnacentral:rRNA from 1 species
UACGAAGGGGGCUAGCGUUGCUCGGAAUCACUGGGCGUAAAGCGCACGUAGGCGGCUUCUUAAGUCAGGGGUGAAAUCCUGGAGCUCAACUCCAGAACUGCCCUUGAUACUGAGAGGCUCGAGUCCGGGAGAGGUGAGUGGAACUGCGAGUGUAGAGGUGAAAUGGGUUGAUAUCAGGAGGAACACCGAUGGCGAAGGCAGCUCACUGGCCGUUAUCUGACGCUGAGGCGCGAAAGCGUGGGUAGCAAACAGG